rnacentral:rRNA from 1 species
UUAUCCCUGUUCUAGCGGCGCACGGGUGAGUAACAUGUGGAUAAUCUGCCAUUGACACAGGAAUAACAGUUAGAAAUAGCUGCUAAAGCCGGAUAAGCCGACGAAUUGGCAUCAAUUAGUCGGAAAAUAUUAAUAGGUCAAUGAGGAGUCCGCAUCUGAUUAGCUAGUUGGUGAGAUAAAAGCCCACCAAGGCAAUGAUCAGUAUCCGGUCUGAGAGGACGAACGGACACAUUGGGGCUGAGACACGGCCCAAACUCCUACGGGAGGCAGCAGUGGGGAAUAUUGCGCAAUGGGGGAAACCCUGACGCAGCAACGCCGCGUGAAGGACGAAGGUCUUCGGAUUGUAAACCUCUAUCGACGGGGAAUAAAACAAUGAAGGUACCCGAGUAAGAAGCACCGGCUAAAUACGUGCCAGCAGCCGCGGUAAUACGUAUGGUGCAAGCGUUAUCCGGAAUUACUGGGCGUAAAGGGUGAGUAGGCGGUUUGUUAAGUCACAUGUGAAAUACCUAAGCUCAACUUAGGAAUAGCAUGAGAAACUGGUAAACUUGAGUACAGGAGAGGUAAGCGGAAUUCCUAGUGUAGCGGUGAAAUGCGUAGAUAUAGGAAGAACACCAGUGGCGAAG